GAUGAACGCUGGCGGCGUGCCUAACACAUGCAAGUCGAACGGUUAAACCGCCCUCGGGCGGACAUACAGUGGCGAACGGGUGAGUAACACGUGACCAACCUGCCCCGCGCUCCGGGACAACCGCUGGAAACGGCGGCUAAUACCGGAUACUCCGCGGCCCCCGCAUGGGGGCGGCGGGAAAGCCCCGACGGCGCGGGAUGGGGUCGCGGCCCAUUAGGUAGUAGGCGGGGUAGAGGCCCACCUAGCCGACGAUGGGUAGCCGGACUGAGAGGUCGAUCGGCCACAUUGGGACUGAGAUACGGCCCAG
rnacentral:rRNA from 1 species